CCUCAUUUCAUUAUCCCGUUAUGAUGGAGCAGGAUCCAGAGAGCACCCAAUUUACCCAGACCCAGCGAGAUUAUCUCCUGCUGCAUACUACGCCCAGAGGAUGAUCCAGUAUCUCUCAAGGAGAGACAGUAUUCGCCAGCGCUCCAUGCGCUACCAACAGAAUCGGCUUCGUUCUUCCACCUCCUCUUCUUCCUCAGACAACCAGGGUCCAUCAGUAGAGGGAACCGACUUGGAAUUUGAGGACUUUGAGGACAAUGGUGACAGAUCUAGGCACCGAGCUCCCCGAAAUGCCCGAAUGUCUGCACCAUCACUUGGACGCUUUGUCCCAAGG
rnacentral:lncRNA from 1 species